rnacentral:lncRNA from 1 species
CAGAGACAGGCGGGAGCCCGUCAGCCUUCUCUCCUCAGCAGAAGACCACUGAGGAUAGGGCUGGGGGCCAGAGAGGAGAAGCCCCUCCACAUCACAGCUACCUGGGCGGAAAACCGGGGCUGUGCACACACUGAGCCCCCGGAUUAGCUCCUCCAGCUUCCGGGCCGGAGCCCCCCUCGACCACGGGACACAUCCUUCAGCUGCAGGAUCACCCCCAGUGCGUUGUGAUGCUCCUGACUCUUCACGACCACCACCCGUCCCACCGAGAGAGAUUUCAACCCAUUCACAGACUCCAGGAUGCGUUGCUGAAGGGUAGGGGCGCACAUGCCGUGCCGUGAGGAGCCACGUCACUGGGACACCAGGACUGAGUCCCAGAGCACCAGGGCACCCGUCUUCCCCCGGCUCGCUCUGGCCAGGCCUGCUCACCUGGAUCCUGCUCCGGGUCUCUACCAGCUCCUCCCCCCAGCCGUAAUAGUCAGGCAGAUCAGCCAGCUGGCCAGUCACGUCGGGCUCCUCCAGGGACCCCAGCUUCUUGAACGCGCAGCGCGGCCCACCCUCCUCACCUUGCUGUCCUUGCGGAACGGGAACUCGGAGAAGCUCCUCUUCAUCAUGUCCUCCACCCUGAGUGCAUCCACCCGCAGCAGGUUGAGGAUCAUAGUGUAUGUGAGGCGG